rnacentral:lncRNA from 1 species
GUGUCUGGACAUGAACGGUUGUUCCCUUUUGUGAGGCCAGGCCUGAGCACCAGGAAGUUCUAGAAGCAGCACAUGGAGAGAGAUGGAGUGAACCAAAAAAGGGGCAAAAACAGCCUGUCUGCAGUAGACAAGGCUUGCCCAGGUGUCCCGUCUGAGCCCAGAGCCAAUCUCCUUAUUGCCCUUAAAAAAAGGCUUGGCAGAGAAGAAAAUAAAAAGACAUUCUGAGACAAUUUGAAAGAAAAGAUUUUUAAAAUGCAAAACAGCAAAGAUCACCAAACAAGGAUGGGACAAUAUUAACCCAUCUUCCAAGCUGGAUCAUUCUUGCUGUGCCAGGAUGGGUGAGCUUCAUACAUUCAGAAACUGCCAAGACCCCGAAGGAUUUUUUCCCCUCCCAGAAAUUCUUUGGGAAUUUGAAACCCACUUCAAGGAAGGAAAAAAAAAAAAGGAAAUCCAUCUUACAGUAUUAGUCACCAAGAUGGGUGUGAAGACAACGGGCUAUAAACCAAACUCGGCUCCAUCUCCAAGACCAAAGAACAGUCUCUAACAAACUGCUUUGAAUUUUAAGAAUUAGCAAUAAUGCUGGCAAACCGGUUUCCUUUUCUUAAAAAAUGAAAUAAUAAUAAUUUGUUUAAAACCUCCAAAUUGACUCCUAAUGUUACCACCAAAUAAAGAACAUGGGCUGAGACUUCAAGCAAAAGCCAGGAUGUUCAAAAGCCAGAGAAAAACACUUAGCUAUGAAAAAAUAAAAAUAUGAGUUGGAAAUAAAAUCCCAGGGAAGCAAAUUUGGUGUGCACUAGAGGUCUUGCAUUCUACCAGCAAAAGCAGGCAGUG